GCCCCCAUCGUCUAGAGGCCUAGGACAGUUCUCUUUCACGGAACAAGCAGGGAUUCAAAUUCCCUUGGGGGUA
rnacentral:tRNA from 1 species